UCAGAGACAUAGAUUAUGAUGAUGAUGAAGAUGAGGAUGAUGAUGAUAUCACUGAUUCCACUGCUGAUCACGCUGGGGUUCCUGACUCAGGAGUCAUCUGCAAAUCAUUUCCUGAAUCAAGCUGAUGAAUCAAAGUCUGUUAGUCUGGGAAAGACUGUGUCUCUCAGUGCUACAGGAGGUUCAGGUAUUGGUGAUGAUAUGAGCUGGUACCUGCUGAAACCUGGACAGGCUCCUAAACUCCUCAUCUAUWMAGUAAAAACCCUUCAGUCUGGAACACCAUCUAGAUUCAGUGGCAGUAGAUCAGGUACUGAGUACACUCUUACAAUCACUGAUGUCAAAGCUGAAGAUGCAGGAGAUUACUAUGGUAUGGGUGUAUAUAGCGGCCCAGUGUUCACACAGUGAUUUAGAGUCGUACAAAAACCUCCCUCAGACUGC